rnacentral:lncRNA from 1 species
GAAAAUCAAAAUUUUAAAUUAGGAAACACUCAGUGGAUUCUGUAAGUUUCUUCAUGGAUAUGCAGAUGAUGAAACUGAAGGGGAGAGAGUGAUUUUCUUAAAAUUGGUAUUCUGAAAUUUAAUGCAGUACUUAUGAAGUCUUUUAUACACUGCCAUUGGAAUGAGUCACUGGACUGUAUUCACCUAAAGUUCAGGUCUGGUCAACAUUUUAGACCCAAAGGUCAACAAACUAUGUAGAUUUGACCCAGAUAACAGAUGCAGUCUGGUACCCAUUUGUGUCAUUUUUAUGUGGCCAAACCUAACUUUGUGGUUUCAUCAUGACAGGCUUUAGUUUGCAGUAGAGAUCUUGUGGCUCAGGAGCCUGAAGAGUUUACUACUCAGCUCUGUGAAUCUUCUUUAAGAUGAUCUUUGAGAAUACCUUUCCAUGUCGUCCUUAAAGCAAGCUAUUGUCAUCCAUUGCUAGCAUUCAGAUUCUCAAGACAAGUAUGUCAUGAGAAAUGAACCUGCAAAGACUACCUGCUUUCUUACCACACUCAUUUCUCCUCACCACUUGUGCCUGCUGAAGCA